rnacentral:rRNA from 1 species
UAAUAGUGUAUAUUAAAGUUGUUGCAGUUAAAAAGCUCGUAGUUGAAUGUUGGUGUCGAACGAGCGGUCAGCUUCGGCUGUACUGCUCUCUCGACUCCUUCCUUCUGUGGACUACGUCGCACUUUACUGUGUGGCGCUAGGACGCAGAUCGUUUACUGUGAAAAAAUUAGAGUGUUCAAAGCAGGCCGUACGCUUGAAUACAUUAGCAUGGAAUAAUGGAAUAGGACGUCGGGCCUAUUUUGUUGGUUCUAGGACCGUCGUAAUGAUUAAUAGGGACAGUUGGGGCCGUUUAUAUUCCGUAGUCAGAGGUGAAAUUCUUGGAUUUACGGAAGAUAAACUAAUGCGAAAGCAUUCGGCAAGGAUGUUUUCGUUAA